GACGAACGCUGGCGGCGUGCUUAACACAUGCAAGUCGAACGGAAAGGCCCUGCUUUUGUGGGGUGCUCGAGUGGCGAACGGGUGAGUAACACGUGAGUAACCUGCCCUUGACUUUGGGAUAACUUCAGGAAACUGGGGCUAAUACCGGAUAGGAUCUCCUGCUGCAUGGUGGGGGUUGGAUAGUUUCGGCGGUUGGGGAUGGACUCGCGGCUUAUCAGCUUGUUGGUGGGGUAGUGGCUUACCAAGGCUUUGACGGGUAGCCGGCCUGAGAGGGUGACCGGCGACAUUGGGACUGAGAGACGGCCCAGACUGCAACGGGAGGCAGCAGUGGGGAAUAUUGCACAAUGGGAGGAAGCAUGAUGAAGAAACGCCGCGUGCGGGAUGACGGCCUUCGGGUUGUAAACAGCUGUCGCCUGUGACGAAGCGUGAGUGACGGUAAUGGGUAAAGAAGCACCGGCUAACUACGUG
rnacentral:rRNA from 1 species